UGGGAUGUGGUGUAUGGUGCACGGCUGCCUUUGGUAAUGGCUCCAUCAAAAGUAGACAGCAAGCCGGGGUUCGACUCCCUGCAUCCCAA